CCUCAGUGGCACAUCCGAGAGGUCAUCUCUUUCUGUGGCAGACACAAACAAAAACAGCACACAGCUGAGCGAACCUUUCCAAAGCCAAUUCAUCACUGAUCACAUGACAACACACUGCUGUAGGCAACAUACAGGCCUGGACACCAGCCACCAAACGGAUGCAGACGCGGCCAGUGUCACAAUCGGACACGAUCGGAAAAUCGACACGACUCUGUGUGCCGAAUAAUCUCCCAACCCGUGCUUAAUUCAGCACAUCGUUUUGCUUUGACUAAUUAAAUAAUGUUUUAGAAUGUGUUCCAGAGGGCGGCCGCGUCAGAGGUCGUUUCUAUUCAUAGCCUUACUGUCCAUCCUGUGACCCAUUUCUAAAUCCACUGGCUGGCAUGUUUCUGCAGUCAGUCAGUCAGCUGCUGAGCCACAGCACAGGGCACACAAACACACUCUGAGAUAAUAGAAAACCACAAAUUCCACUGCAGCAGAUUAACUGUGAUGUUAGCGAUGCUCAGCGCUGAAGGUAAGCUGACAUAUGUGGCCUUGCAGACGCUGAAAAACAGAGGCUUCACAUUUCAGAUGUGAAUCGUACGUGUCUCAUUUCAAUUUUCCUCUGUACUUAUUACGCGUUAAUCAUUUAAGUGGCUUUUCUCUGCGUUCUGAAUGAUUCAUGCCGAAAGGAUUAUUAAAAUGAAAUAGAGGUUACUCAUUAUAGCCAUUCAGUUCAUAAAAGUAAAGACAUAUUAAAGCAUCAACUCCCCAUCUUUCUGCUAUGUGACCCUUCCAGUGGUGCAAACACCCGUGCAGGGAGCCACUGGGUUAAAACACCAACAGGAGAAAAAUUUAAAAAAAUCUGCUUUCUUUUCCUGCCUCAUCUGCUUACUAACGGAAAACCAGAGGAAAUCUGAACAAAAGUCAUAAGAUCACCAAAUAAAACUUUGGAACUAGA